rnacentral:tRNA from 1 species
GUCCCCAUCGUCUAGCGGUCCAGGACACCGCCCUCUCAAGGCGGGAACACGGGUUCGAUUCCCGUUGGGGACGCCA